GAUGAACGCUGGCGGCGUGCCUAAUACAUGCAAGUCGAGCGAACAGAUAAGGAGCUUGCUCCUUUGACGUUAGCGGCGGACGGGUGAGUAACACGUGGGUAACCUACCUAUAAGACUGGAAUAACUCCGGGAAACCGGGGCUAAUGCCGGAUAACAUUUAGAACCGCAUGGUUCUAAAGUGAAAGAUGGUUUUGCUAUCACUUAUAGAUGGACCCGCGCCGUAUUAGCUAGUUGGUAAGGUAACGGCUUACCAAGGCAACGAUACGUAGCCGACCUGAGAGGGUGAUCGGCCACACUGGAACUGAGACACGGUCCAGACUCCUACGGGAGGCAGCAGUAGGGAAUCUUCCGCAAUGGGCGAAAGCCUGACGGAGCAACGCCGCGUGAGUGAUGAAGGUCUUAGGAUCGUAAAACUCUGUUAUUAGGGAAGAACAAAUGUGUAAGUAACUGUGCACGUCUUGACGGUACCUAAUCAGAAAGCCACGGCUAACUACGUG
rnacentral:rRNA from 1 species